rnacentral:rRNA from 1 species
UAGGGAAUUUUCGUCAAUGGGCGCAAGCCUGAACGAGCGAUGCCGCGUGAGUGAAGAAGGCCUUCGGGUGUAAAGCUCUGUUGCGGGGGAAAAAAGGCAGCAUCAGGAAAUGGGUGCUGACUGAUGGUGCCCCGCCAGAAAGUCACGGCUAACUACGUGCC